GGGUGCGAGCGUUGUCCGGAAUUACUGGGCGUAAAGAGCUCGUAGGUGGUUUGUCGCGUUGUUCGUGAAAUCUCACGGCUUAACUGUGAGCGUGCGGGCGAUACGGGCAGACUAGAGUACUGCAGGGGAGACUGGAAUUCCUGGUGUAGCGGUGGAAUGCGCAGAUAUCAGGAGGAACACCGGUGGCGAAGGCGGGUCUCUGGGCAGUAACUGACGCUGAGGAGCGAAAGCGUGGGGAGCGAACAGGAUUAGAUACCCUGGUAGUCCACGCCGUAAACGGUGGGUACUAGGUGUGGGUUUCCUUCCUUGGGAUCCGUGCCGUAGCUAACGCAUUAAGUACCCCGCCUGGGGAGUACGGCCGCAAGGCUAAAACUCAAAGGAAUUGACGGGGGCCCGCACGAGCGGCGGAGAAUGUGGAUUAAUUCGAUGCAACGCGAAGAACCUUACCUGGGUUUGACAUGCACAGGACGCGUCUAGAGAUAGGCGUUCCCUUGCGGCCUGUGUGCAGGUGGUGCAUGGCUGUCGU
rnacentral:rRNA from 1 species